GAGGCCACAUGGAAGUCACGGCUCUCUUCUGACCUCAGUUUGUUGCCUCAUGGUUUUCCUUCAGUUUACUCAGAGACCAACCACAGGGCCAGCCCCUCACAAUAUCCACGAGCUUGGCCUCUUACAGAACUCUCGUCCCCGGUGGCUCUCACAUUCUAGGGUUACUGGUGAUCUUCCUAGAAGCUGGAAGACACAGAGCCCAUCUCUUCCUCUGACUGGCUGAUGGAACAGCAUGUGCAAAGGCCCAGAAGAAAGAGCACAGAUCGCUCAAGGUGGCUGAGGAAUAAAGAAUGCUAAUUAAUGAA